AAGCAAUUUCAAUUUGUUAAUUUGUAUUUAAGCUGGGUUUUGGAUUUCUAUCAGGUUUUAAUUCUUGUUUUUGAAAUCCAUUUCUCUUGCAAAUAAUCAAUGGAUCCAAAUUGAGAUGGGUAGUUCAAGAUCCACGCCCAAAGAAAGGUUCGGCAAUGUUUAUCAGGUUGCGGGUUUAGGUGUUGGGAAAGCUUCGUUCAAACUUUCAUCGAGAAUCCUUAUGAUUUGAUAUCCUUUUCUUACGUCGUUCGAAACAUUGUCAAGUUCUUCCGCAGUGAAAACUUUUUCUGCAGGAAGUGUUAACAUCUUCAAUGCUGGUGAUAGUUUUCCCUUUCAUUGUAGAUGUUUGCGGUGUUCUGGCAGCACAUCUUCUUUCAUUGAGCGGUAAAUUUGUAACAUCUCUCAAAACAUCCAUCUCGAUUAUUUUGGCCCUAAAAUUUGAUUCUGUUGAAAAUAAUAAGGAGAGCUAAGUAUUAAAAGACAGUUUUAUCAAUAAACUCUUUGCGAAUAUAUACUUACGUAUAGACAUUUACAUGGCAAAGAGGACUCUAGCAUUUACAAACCUUUGGAGCAAAUCUUUUCUGGGGGUGUUGUAUUCGCACUUUUGAAGA